rnacentral:rRNA from 1 species
UGGUUGUCGUCAGCUCGUGUCGUGAGAUGUUGGGUUAAGUCCCGCAACGAGCGCAACCCUUAAGCUUAGUUGCCAGCAUUAAGUUGGGCACUCUAAGUUGACUGCCGGUGACAAACCGGAGGAAGGUGGGGAUGACGUCAAAUCAUCACGCCCCUUAUGAUUUGGGCUACACACGUGCUACAAUGGACAAUACAAAGGGCAGCUAAACCGCGAGGUCAUGCAAAUCCCAUAAAGUUGUUCUCAGUUCGGAUUGUAGUCUGCAACUCGACUACAUGAAGCUGGAGUCGCUAGUAAUCGUAGAUCAGCAUGCUACGGUGAAUACGUUCCCGGGUCUUGUACACACCGCCCGUCACACCACGAGAGUCUGUAACACCCGAAGCCGGUGGAGUAACCAUUUAUGGAGCUAGCCGUCGAAGGUGGGACAAAUGAUUGGGGUGAAGUCGUAACAAGGUAGCCGUAUCGGAAGGUGCGGCUGGAUCACCUC